rnacentral:lncRNA from 10 species
AUGACCUGCCUCUCCCUUCCCCUCCCACUUCAGCCAUGUGAUCAAUUUCCCAAGUGCCUCUUCCAUCUUGAAGGGUGUGUCUACUCUUGUCUCUCCUAGUUGGCCUGAUUCCACCAAUGAAGAAAGCUCUGGCAUUAGCAGAUGUCAGUAAAGACUAUCAGGUACCUAGCUGAAGCAACAGCCCCUCUCUCCUGUGAAUUUCUUAGUCCAAUCAAAAAAGAAAUGAGGUUGGCUUGGCAUGGUGUGUUUUUAGUGAGCCCACGAUUUCCUUUGCUAAGAACUCAGAGCCAUCUGUUUAAUAAUCUAUUUUUGAAAUCACACAGAGAUUGAUGUUAUGCGCCUUGGGAUUGAAUCUUUGAAAUUCGCCAGUCCCCUUCUUUUGGAAAUCUGGACAACAUUUUAAAGGAUGACAGAGGGCACAGAAGCCACCAGCAGAUUCUUUGGAAGGAAGUAACAGGAGUGGAACUUCAUUUUCCCAUGGAUUGUAAAGGGCUGGGCUCCCUUCCACCUCUUCUCACUGGCCUCCUGUUUGUACCCCUGACCUCUCCGGGAUCUGGAUCCCAACACUGUCUUCUGCAAUGAAAACCCUGAUUUUCUAUAUCUGGACAAAAGACUAGGACAUAACGAGAAUUUUAGCGGAAGGAACUGAGGGAGAGAGAUUGCACAGCAGACAAGGACAAAUAAAGGGAAGGUGG